GAAAAUUCCAGCACAAGGUCGCAUGACCAGGGAAAACACCACCAACAAUAACCACAUCACAAAUCUCUCCAGCCCAGCCUCAGGCCUUGGCUCUACCGGCUGUAACCUCCACUCUGGGGUCCUCUGGAGGAGAGAAGGGCUACCACCAGGAGCCACAGUGAUCUCCAUACAGACUUCCACACUGGGCCUGCACCCUCCGCUCUGGGGCUCCCGGAGGCAGAGACCCGCAGAGGCUGCUGCCUGCCCCUGGUACUGGCCUGUCUGUCCUGCCAGUGCUCCACACUGAUCCUGGGCCUGUUGGAGGCCUGCUC
ensembl:lncRNA